rnacentral:misc_RNA from 1 species
CCUCACUUUCGACCAGUUUUGUGCCCCAUGAGCUUUAUGUGGAUGCAAAUAGCGGGUUCCUGUGUUGCAUACCGAUCGCGAAGGAAAUUUGUCCCUUUUGCUGCCCCUUUCAACGCGACAUCCUGUGUGGGUGCUCGGUUGGACUAGAUGGUGGGUCUCGUGUUCCUCGGGCAUCACAUUUUGUUGUUCUGAUGGACCAUGGGUGCUUACUCGUUCUCUCGGAUGCGGAACAUUGUUGAUGGGUGCAAGCGGUCAGCGGCCCUUGCUCCAAACAAUUCAAGCGUGAUUAUCGCUGUUGCUAGAAUGACGCUCUCGCCUCGUCUUUGACCACACGGAGCUCUCGGGCUUCGCGUGGAUCAUGCUUGGGGGACGUCGUCAAGGAAUGCUACCUGGUUG